UACAGAGGGUGCGAGCGUUAAUCGGAAUUACUGGGCGUAAAGCGUGCGUAGACGGCUAUCUAAGUCGGGUGUGAAAGCCCCGGGCUCAACCUGGGAAUUGCAUUCGAGACUGAAUAGCUAGGGUACGGUAGAGGGAAGUGGAAUUUCCGGUGUAGCGGUGAAAUGCGUAGAUAUCGGAAGGAACAUCAGUGGCGAAAGCGACUUCCUGGACCAGUACCGACGCUCAUGUGCGAAAGCGUGGGGAGCAAACAGG
rnacentral:rRNA from 1 species